rnacentral:snRNA from 1 species
CGAACCAUCUAGUAGCUG